rnacentral:rRNA from 1 species
CUACCUUGUUGCUUUGGCGGGACCGCUCGGUCUCGAGCCGCUGGGGAUUCGUCCCAGGCGAGCGCCCGCCAGAGUUAAACCAAACUCUUGUUAUUUAACCGGUCGUCUGAGUUAAAAUUUUGAAUAAAUCAAAACUUUCAACAACGGAUCUCUUGGUUCUCGCAUCGAUGAAGAACGCAGCGAAAUGCGAUAAGUAAUGUGAAUUGCAGAAUUCAGUGAAUCAUCGAAUCUUUGAACGCACAUUGCGCCCCUUGGUAUUCCGAGGGGCAUGCCUGUUCGAGCGUCAUUACACCACUCAAGCUAUGCUUGGUAUUGGGCGUCGUCCUUAGUUGGGCGCGCCUUAAAGACCUCGGCGAGGCCACUCCGGCUUUAGGCGUAGUAGAAUUUAUUCGAACGUCUGUCAAAGGAGAGGAACUCUGCCGACUGAAACCUUUAUUUUUCUAGGUUGACCUCGGAUCAGGUAGGGAUACCCGCUGAACUUAAGCAUAUCAAUAAGCGGAGGAA